rnacentral:lncRNA from 1 species
UUUAAAGGCAGUGCUUUAAGGCCUGACUUUCAAGUCAUGAGGUUCAUCUUUUCAUACGCAACGUCCAACAAAUCUAUGUAGGGGGUCAUUUGGCCAGAAAUAGAUCCGGAAAUGUUCAAUUUUCUCCUCUCCUUUUUGUGGUAUGAUAUGGUUUCUGUUUCUUUCAUUUACAUUGGGAAAUAAAAAAACGAUCAGUUUGUAUUGUUCGUUUUAAAAAACUUGUUAUUAAUGUGUAUUUUGCAUUAUAAGCAGUCAACCUGAUUACAAACUAUCAUUAUUUGUAUUCCGAGUGGAAAGAGGUCGGGUCAACUUCGAGUGUUAUCUGACAUCUAAAGAUUUUUUAACCAGUUCAAACGUUGAUAUAACAAUAAAAGGUCGACUAAACAUGAUUCAUAUUGCAUUUUCUAUAAUUCAAAGCGAAAUUCGGUUUAUGAACGAGAAACCGUAAGCGUUUUCAAUUUCGUUAGUUGUCUACGUAUUAUCCUGGUUCUCGCUACUACGUUCCGGGCAUUAGCUAUUUGAUAUAUGUGUUACAUUACGAUGGGGUACCAGUCAAUCUACGCGUGUAUGUGUAUAUGACUCAGUUGACAAGAGCAGUACUUCUACGUUGAUGUUGGGAGAAUUUUGAUUAAACUCUAAAUGCUCAUAGAAUAAGAAAUAUAAUCUAAACUGAAUUUACUUCCGUCGAAUAAUUUAUUGCAAUAUAAAUAUAAAUCCCUUUUGACAAGAGAAAUCUGACUUUUGUCAGAAAUAUUUUGUUCACGUGUGCAAAGGUAAUCACGUGUGGCGGCCAUAUUGGUUUGUUUACAUAUUUGUGAAGAAGCCUCUAGAACUAUGACCUAAACAUAAAAA